GACGAACGCUGGCGGCGUGCUUAACACAUGCAAGUCGAACGGAAAGGCCCUGCUUUUGUGGGGUGCUCGAGUGGCGAACGGGUGAGUAACACGUGAGUAACCUGCCCUUGACUUUGGGAUAACUUCAGGAAACUGGGGCUAAUACCGGAUAGGAGCUCCUGCUGCAUGGUGGGGGUCGGAAAGUUUCGGCGGUUGGGGAUGGACUCCCGGCUUAUCAGCUUGUUGGUGGGGUAGUGGCUUACCAAGGCUUUGACGGGUAGCCGGCCUGAGAGGGUGACCGGCGACAUUGGGACUGAGGUACGGCCCAGACUCCUACGGGAGGCAGCAGUGGGGAAUAUUGCACAAUGGGCGGAAGCCUGAUGCAGCAACGCCGCGUGCGGGAUGACGGCCUUCGGGUUGUAAACCGCUUUCGCCUGUGACGAAGCGUGAGUGACGGUAAUGGGUAAAGAAGCACCGGCUAACUACGUG
rnacentral:rRNA from 1 species